rnacentral:lncRNA from 1 species
AAACACUCUCAAUCCCCUCUGAACCCUAGCCCUUUUCUGGCUCUGUUUCACCGGUGUUUAUGGCUUCUCAAGCUUCAAAACACCUGUACGCACCUCUCCCUACCUCCUAUGGUUCUUUUGUUCGAAGAUCGAAGCUCUAUCUUGAAUACUAUCCACUCAGAGGUCCUUCAACUGGAGUUUUAUGGCCUUGUACGGGCUCUCUCCGGCAAGCCUUGAUACUGUGAGUCCAUUGAUGACUCAGAAUCGGUCCAGUCCAUGCUUUCUCGUGUCUCUAUGGUUCUCUCUAUGAAACCCUAAUUUUCAAGGUUUUCUCUGUGUCUAUCAUUACGAUCUUCUCUAGAUCCUAGUUAUUUUCUAAAGUUUCAAAGCAUUUCUCACACAUCUUUGCCGACUUUGUUUUCAAGCUGUUCGUCUUCUUAAUUUAGGGUUUCUUCAAUUUCUGUGCUUAUUUUCUCUAUCAUGAUUUCUUCUAAUUUUUACCGUAAUUUCUGAGUAUUUUCUACUAUGGCUCCUAUGUAUUUUUCUUUACUGUGGUAUUUCUAGGGUUUCCGAGUUAAAUAUUUUAGUAUGCUCUCUGUUUUUCCUUAUGCUGAUCUUCCUAAGUUCAUCUUCAUCUAUGCUUCUUCUUUACAC